rnacentral:lncRNA from 10 species
GUGAACCAAAGGCUGGGCUUUAAAGGGAGGCAAGCAUGUCAGAUGGUCUUUCAAUAAACGUUGCUGAAUGAGGGACUGAAUAUCAAUCCACAGUCAACUUUCCAAUCUGUGUGGUUACGUGGGUUACAGCAAUAAAAGGCAUACAACCCUAAUUAAGGAUGUCACAGCUUAGUGAGAGAAAAAAAAAUUAUACUUUGCCAAACCCAGAGUGAGAAAGGCUUCCUGAAGAAGGUGGAAAGCAAGCUGACUACUGAAAGGAUUGACUUUAUGUGGCAUGUGCAAAUAUGUAAGAAGGUGACUUAAAAGGUGAAACUGGAACACAGAGACAAAGAAAAGUCAACAAAGGCUCUAACAUCAACAUGACCUUGGAUAAGGUGUACAUUUCAUCAGGACAGAUGACUCGAAUGGGUAAACUUAGUCACCUCAUCAGCAGCCAUCCUGGAGAACAGAGCACUGGGCUUAAAAAUCAUUUCUUCCAACGGUCUCCAUCCUUUGUCCCUGAAAGAAAAUUCAUGCUCCCAAUCUCCAAGCACUCUGGCUAUCUUUCUUGCUAAAAAGAAAUCUGUUUGGGAUGCCAGUCAUUAACCUAAGAGAGCUAUGAUGUGUUCCUUCCAUUCUGGGCUCCUUGUGGGCUAAGCUUGAGCCACAGUAUUUGGUUUAAGGCCCUUGUCCGGGUCUAAUGGGUCACUGUCUAAUAGAAUGUAAAUCUACACUUGUUGCUUCUAUAUUCUUUCUUUCUCUUUUUUUCUUUUUUACUUUUUUAGACGGGUGCUUGCUCUGUCGCCCAGGAUAGAGUGCAGUGACGCCAUCAUAGCUCACUACAGCUUCGACCACUGGGCUCAAACAUCCUCCCACCUCAGUCUCCCAAGUAACUGGGACCACACAGGCACACAUCACGCUGCCUAGCUUGUUCCACUAUUUUGAACAGGUCCUUUUUUUCUUUUCUUUUUUUCUCCUUUAGAGAUAUAAAAGUAUAAACCAGAUACUUAGCUUCACCUCAGGUAUAACGUGGUAGAAAGACCUAAACUAGGAAUUGAAUGCCCAGUUGUCAAAGUGGCCCCACUACUAAACAACCCUGGAACUUUACACAAAUCACAAAUUUUCUGGGACCCCAGUUUCUUGUCUCUACAAUAGUGGAACCAAACAAAUGGUGUUUCAACGUUGUUUCUAGUUCCAAAAAUGCUCAUAAUCCUAAUUCUUAGUAAAUCACUUCUAUUUUUAUUCAGAGGUAACAGGGUGUGAUAUAAAAAAACACAAGCUUGGACUCAGACAGACAUGGAUUGAACCAUGUUUGACACUGAGGUUAGAACAUCUCUGAUAUGCAAUUUCCUUCCUAUAAAAUAGAGAUAGUAUUACCUAACUCACCAGGUAGUUAUGAAUAUUAAUCAGACAAUAUAUAUCAACUAUUUACCGUGGUUUGUUUACAGUAGAGCCUUAAUUUUUUUUUAAAAAAGUGCCCUAAUCAUGUUUUCAAGUUGGCACUUACUUUAGAAAUCAGCAUGAAUUUGAGGCUUUCAAAGCACCACUUGUGGUAUGUAUUAUUUCCUCAAUUGUCACAUUAAAAUUUUUCUUCUUGAUAUUUAUUUUAAUUUUCAAAUAGAAAGUUUGCUUUUCUGUUUCCUUUCUAUAAAUAUUACCCCUUACCAGAGUAGCCUCC